GGUCUAAUUUCUGCCUUCUCAGUAUCCAGGUCCGUGAGAUUCAAAAACAUUUAUUAAUUCAACAAGAAUGUCUAUUGAGCACCUCUUAAGUUCUUUGGCAGAAUGAGAUGGGAUAUAAAAGUCAUAAUUAUUUAGUCAGCUUGAACAACAUGCUUGACACUGAGGACAUAAAAGUUGAAUAAGACAUGGCCCCAGGUUACCAGGGGCUCACAACCUAGUGACGAACCUGACAGGCAAAUAGAGAGCACGGAGUCAGUGCCCUACUGGAGGCGGCCGAGAGUGUGAAGAAGUCGUGAGGAAUCUCCUGCACUGAUAAGGGGUGUGUAAGGCAUCUCUCUCUCCUAUUCUUGUACCGGCAGAAAUUCUCGAGAGGAGCAUGCUGUCUUCAGAGGGUCCCCACUCCACACCCCCUGACACGGUCAGGCUUCUCUAGAUGACCAUUAUUGAUACAUUCAGCUCUCACUCAGAAAUGUGGGGAAGAGGCAGCACAUUGCAGUGAUGGGAGAGAAACUGGUACCUUGGCCACUACAGUUUGGAAUUACCUAUUCACUUUCUUGGAUGUCAACACCUUCGGAAUAGACAUGGGGAGAAAAACUCCAGCUGCCUGACUAUCUUCGAGUACUUUGUGAGUUUGCCUCUUUGGUGAAUUCCAAAGAUACUCAACACAUUCACAAAAUAACCACCUCAUUCAGCAGCGAACAGUGAAAAGGUAAAGGCCCCAGAGUGCUUCUCUUUCAGGCUUCCAUGGCUAGAUUCUUCCCUGUCUCACCAGAGUAUUAAAUUCAAUAGCAAACCUACUCGAUAGCAAACCGUCUCUUCCUCUGGGUGUACGAAAAACGAGAAAGGUCACCCACUGAUUUCAGUAGUGAAACUUUUGCUCAUGGAAGGCCAGACGUGCGAUGCGGUGGGCAGCGUGCAGACAAGCAGGAAGCUGCGUGUCAUAGAGUGACUUGGUGUUCACGAAGCUGGCAGCGGCAGCCACCGGCGUUGAUAGGCAACACUCUCCCUCCUCAACAAUACCAAGUUCCUCUUGAAAUUUGGAAGCAAGGUCUGGCAAGGAUGCUGCCUCUUCUUGAGGAUGUAAGUGCACAGCUGAAGUCUGUUUCCAGAGUAAGAGGAGAGCAAGGUUCCCAAAGCAGCCAUAGGCAGACACCAGAGCAGGCCUUGAUCACCCUGAAAGUACAGGAAAUGGUGCAUGUAACUCCUAAGGAAGAUGAGGCCAGGGUUCUCAAGAAGCCUGAACUCGGCCGCUCGCUGGGCUGGUGCACAGUAUGGGACACAAAUGACCUUCAGCCCAGAGACUCAAAGAGAGAAAGCCCACAUCCCCAGGCAAGUUCCUUCAUGCCUCUGGUCUCAGUGUCUUCUUCUGUUAAAUAGAGGAUUGGAUUCACUAGAUAAUCUCUGAACUUUUUCUAGCUUUAAAAAUAUGUUAAGUGUCUGAUGUUUUAGUCAAUGCAUCUGAACAUAUCCAUCUAUACUAACUGGUUCCUUCCACCUACAAGAAAAAAAAAAAUCAUCUCCAGGAGGUCUCAAGUAUAAAUUCUUAGUUUGAAAAGCCAAAGGAUUUUUUAACUAUUUGCAGCUAAAUUUCAUCUUAAAUGUCUGAGCUGAA